AGUGAACGCUGGCGGUAGGCCUAACACAUGCAAGUCGAACGGCAGCACAGGAGAGCUUGCUCUCUGGGUGGCGAGUGGCGGACGGGUGAGGAAUACAUCGGAAUCUACUCUGUCGUGGGGGAUAACGUAGGGAAACUUACGCUAAUACCGCAUACGACCUACGGGUGAAAGCAGGGGACCUUCGGGCCCUGCGCGAUUGAAUGAGCCGAUGUCGGAUUAGCUAGUUGGCGGGGUAAAGGCCCACCAAGGCGACGAUCCGUAGCUGGUCUGAGAGGAUGAUCAGCCACACUGGAACUGAGACACGGUCCAGACUCCUACGGGAGGCAGCAGUGGGGAAUAUUGGACAAUGGGCGCAAGCCUGAUCCAGCCAUACCGCGUGGGUGAAGAAGGCCUUCGGGUUGUAAAGCCCUUUUGUUGGGAAAGAAAUCCGGCUGGCUAAUACCCGGUUGGGAUGACGGUACCCAAAGAAUAAGCACCAGCUAACUUCGUGCCAGCCGCCGCCGUAA
rnacentral:rRNA from 1 species